GGGAUCUCGGUGGCUGAGGGCUGUGCUCAUGAAGGACUCCUUGAGUUUGGAAGAUGAGGCUCACCUUCUGCACAGCCAAUAGGUCAUUGUCAUGGGAACACUGACCACCAGCACCAACCUCCAUCCCCCGCCGGGGGCACGUGCCUUUAUCACCCAUUUCCUAGGUUUUGUUGUGGUUCCCAGGCGGUGCCUUCGAGACUGGCUCAGCCUCCAUCUUCGAUGGGUCCUCCCUGGCUGCCUAUGAGGACAUGCUGGUUGUGAUCGUCCAGUACCGGCUGGGAAUAUUUGGCUUCUUCACCACAUGGGAUCAGCACGCUCCCGGGAACUGGGCCUUCAAGGACCAGGUGGCUGCUCUAUCCUGGGUCCAGAAGAACAUCGAGUUCUUCGGUGGGGACCCCAGCUCUGUGACCAUCUUUGAUUCUGUCUCCCAUGGCCGAAGGCUUAUUCCACAAAGCCGUCAUGGAGAGUGGGGUGGCCAUCAUCCUUUACCUGAAGGCCCAUGAUUAUGAGAAGAGUGAGGACAAAACAAAGGCUUUCACUCAAGUGGUUGAUGGUGCUUUCUUUCCUAAUGAGCCUCUAGAUCUAUUGUCUCAGAAAGCAUUUAAAGCAAUUCCUUCCAUCAUCGGAGUCAAUAACCCCGAGUGUGGCUUCCCGCUGCCUAUGAAGGAGGCUCCUGAGAUUCUCAGUGGCUCCAACAAGUCCCUUGCCCUCUGUCUGACACAAAACAUCCUGCACAUCCUGCCCAAUUAUUUGCACCUUGUGGCUGGUGAAUACUUCCAUGACAAGCACUCCCUGACUGAAAUCCGAGACAGUCUUCUGGACUUGCUUGGAGAUGUGUUCUUUGUGAUCCCUAAGCUGAUCACAGCUCAGUAUCAUAGAG